rnacentral:rRNA from 1 species
GAUGAACGCUGGCGCGUCGUAGAAACGUAACACAUGCAAGUCGAGCGAUUCUCUUCGGAGAAGAGCGGCGGACGGGUGAGUAACGCGUGGGUAACCUCCCCAAGAACACACGGAUAACAUACCGAAAGGUAUGCUAAUACGAGAUAAUAUGCUUUUAUCGCAUGGUAGAAGUAUCAAAGCUCCGGCGGUACAGGAUGGACCCGCGUCUGAUUAGCUAGUUGGUGAGGUAACGGCUCACCAAGGCGACGAUCAGUAGCCGACCUGAGAGGGUGAUCGGCCACAUUGGAACUGAGACACGGUCCAAACUCCUACGGGAGGCAGCAGUGGGGAAUAUUGCUUUUUGGGCGAAAGCCUGAUGCAGCAACGCCGCGUGAGCGAUGAAGGCCUUCGGGUCGUAAAGCUCUGUCCUCAAGGAAGAUAAUGACCGCCCCUGAGGAGGAAGCCCCGGCUAACUAC